GGGUAUGCCUUGUACGGCGAGUGAGCGGCAAAAGCUCAAUUUGAAUCUGGUACCUUCGGUGUGGAGUGGUAAUUUGUAGAAGGUAACUUUGGGGCUGGUCCUUGAAAAUGUUCCUUGGAACAGGACGUCAUAGAGGGUGAGAAUCCCGUGUGGCGAGGAUCCCAGUUCUUUGUAAAGUGCUUUCGAAGAGUCGAGUUGUUUGGGAAUGCAGCUCUAAGUGGGUGGUAAAUUCCAUCUAAAGCUAAAUAUUGGCGAGAGACCGAUAGCGAACAAGUACAGUGAUGGAAAGAUGAAAAGAACUUUGAAAAGAGAGUGAAAAAGUACGUGAAAUUGUUGAAAGGGAAGGGCAUUUGAUCAGACAUGGUGUUUUGCGCCCUCUGCUCCUUGUGGGUGGGGGAAUUUCGCAGUUCACUGGGCCAGCAUCAGUUUUGGCGGCAGGAUAAAUCUGCAGGAAUGUAGCUUGCCUCGGUAAGUGUUAUAUCCUGUAGAAAUACUGCCAGCUGGGACUGAGGACUGCGACUUUACGUCAAGGAUGCUGGCAUAAUGGUUAUAUGCCGCCCGUCUUGAAACACGGACCA
rnacentral:rRNA from 1 species